rnacentral:rRNA from 1 species
UACGUAGGGGGCAAGCGUUGUCCGGAUUUAUUGGGCGUAAAGAGCGUGUAGGCGGCCAGAUAGGUCUGUUGUGAAAAACUCGAGGCUCAACCUCGAGACGCCGAUGGAAACCAUCUGGCUAGAGUCCGGAAGAGGAGAGUGGAAUUCCUGGUGUAGCGGUGAAAUGCGCAGAUAUCAGGAGGAACACCGGUGGCGAAGGCGGGUCUCUGGGCCGAUACUGACGCUGAGGAGCGAAAGCGUGGGGAGCGAACAGG